rnacentral:rRNA from 1 species
GAUGAACGCUGGCGGCGUGCCUAAUACAUGCAAGUAGAACGCUGAAGCUUGGUGCUUGCACCGAGCGGAUGAGUUGCGAACGGGUGAGUAACGCGUAGGUAACCUGCCUCUUAGCGGGGGAUAACUAUUGGAAACGAUAGCUAAUACCGCAUAAAAGUCGAUAUCGCAUGAUAUUGAUUUGAAAGGUGCAAAUGCAUCACUAAGAGAUGGACCUGCGUUGUAUUAGCUAGUUGGUGAGGUAACGGCUCACCAAGGCGACGAUACAUAGCCGACCUGAGAGGGUGACCGGCCACACUGGGAAUGAGACACGGCCCAGACUCCUACGGGAGGCAGCAGUAGGGAAUCUUCGGCAAUGGGGGCAACCCUGACCGAGCAACGCCGCGUGAGUGAAGAAGGUUGUCGGAUCGUAAAGCUCCGUUGUAAGAGAAGAACGAGUGUGAGAGUGGAAAGUUCACACUGUGACGGUAACUUACCAGAAAGGGACGGCUAACUACGUG